rnacentral:rRNA from 1 species
CCAGACUCCUACGGGAGGCAGCAGUGGGGGAUAUUGCACAAUGGGGGAAACCCUGAUGCAGCGACGCCGCGUGAGUGAAGAAGUAUUUCGGUAUGUAAAGCUCUAUCAGCAGGGAAGAAAAUGACAGUACCUGACCAAGAAGCCCCGGCUAACUACGUGCCAGCAGCCGCGGUAAUACGUAGGGGGCAAGCGUUAUCCGGAUUUACUGGGUGUAAAGGGAGCGUAGACGGUUAUGUAAGUCUGGAGUGAAAGCCCGGGGCCCAACCCCGGGACUGCUUUGGAAACUGGGUAACUGGAGUACAGGAGGGGCAGGCGGAAUUCCUGGUGUAGCGGUGAAAUGCGUAGAUAUUAGGAGGAACACCAGUGGCGAAGGCGGCUUACUGGACUGUAACUGACGUUGAGGCUCGAAAGCGUGGGGAGCAAACAGGAUUAGAUACCCCCGUAA